AGUGAACGCUGGCGGUAGGCCUAACACAUGCAAGUCGAACGGCAACACAGUAAGAUUUCGCUCUUACGGGUGGCGAGUGGCGGACGGGUGACGAAUACAUCGGCAUCUUCUUUUACGUGGGUAUAAUGUAGGGAACCUUACUCUAAUACCGCAUACUACCUACCGGUGAAAUCAAGUGAUCUUCGACCGUUUUGCGAUCGCAUAUGCCGAUGUCCGAUUAGCUAGUUGGCGGGGUAAAGGCCUACCAAGGCCACGAUCCGUAGCUGUUCUGAGAGGAUGAUCGGCCACACUGGAACUGAGACACGGUCCAGACUCCUACGGGAGGCAGCAGUGGGGAAUAUUGGGCAAUGGGCGAAAGCCUGAUCCAGCCAUACCGCGUGGGUGAUGAAGGCCUUCGGGUUGUAAAGCCCUUUUGUUAGGAAAGAAAAGCAGCGGGUUAAACCACCGAUGUUCUGACGGUACCCAAAGAAUAAGCAACGGCUAACUUCGUG
rnacentral:rRNA from 1 species